rnacentral:lncRNA from 1 species
GAUGUGGUUGACAAAUCGAUGGACCACCGUCGGCGCCAUCGCCGCCCAUUUCGGAUGAUCCUCGCGUUCAAAUUUUCCAGCGACCGGACCUUGAACAGCGGGCCGCCGUCCCCUCGCGGCUUUCCAUCACCCCCGCCGGCCAGGAAGAAGAGGCGAUCGCAGCCGUUCUCACCACCACCGCUGUCAUAUUAUUGGGAGUCUACCCACGCCGAUUCACUCACCGCAUUCCGUAUUCACUCCUUCCUGGUGCUCUCUGACCUAGUAAUGGAAACUCGUGCCUGUACCGUCCGCUCCCGGCAGCGGACUAGGUACUACUGGCUCUGCCGUUACUUGCCUGAAGAACAUUUUCGGCCGAUCGCCUUCUCCUCAGGUGGGUAUCUGUACAGGGCGAUGAACUUCACUUCCGAAGCCAUUGCUCGCAACCCGACACCGACACUACAAUCACUGCUAUUCGACAAGUCACUCCGCAAAGCAACGACAGGUUCAUCCUAACCAGAGACCAGGCUGACACGUCCGGCGGACAGCACCCCUUAACCCAACAUGCCCUCUGGUUGUCUGCAAAGUUGGGGACCUGCGUGACCACACUCUGAAGGAGCAGGCCGUUUAGGGUGUCCCUUUUAUCUCCGUGAUGAAUCGAACGAGCGCGCCUGCUCAUUCCUGGAUAUCUUUUGAUCCGUCGUGCAACACGCCUCUGGUAACACACCAAUUUUAGAUGUGAACUCGUUCAAACUUUGCAGAACCAGAAGCUGGCAAUGCUAUAUGAGCUAUCUCCUAUAUUACUCUUCUCCGCUCCGAAUUAUCAUCAGCUUAGUGAGAUGAGGAGUCGAUCCGGGGUAGUUGAUGGUUAUGUAGUUAACUGAUUAUUUAAAUGCGUCUGCAGGAUAGAUUGCUUUAAAAUCUACCAACAUGGCUGAAAAGGUGUCUUUCUGUCACCCACGAAAUUUUGAAUCGUCUUGUCACCUGGAAUCAAAUCCCUCAGAAACCAUCGUAAUAUACAUCUAAAGGCAGUAAACCACAAGAAGGAGAAACAAAUUAAUUGUAGUGCGGCAUAACCAGCGAACAUUUUCGUUCCGGGAAGCUCAUUUGCACUGUAGUUUCACUUCUUGGCCACCAAGCACUGAAUGAAGGUUGCGUCUGACUUAGCAGAAUCGUCAUACAAAGGCAUACUUAACAUAACCAGCCUAAAGGCGUUUAGUUUUCUGU